AGACAGACCGACCGACAGAUAGAUAGAUAGAUAGAUAGAUAGAUAGAUAGAUAGAUAGAUAGACAGACAGACAGACAGACAGAUAGAUAGACAGACAGACAGACAGACAGACAGACAGACAUACAGACAGACAGACAGACAGACAGAUAGAUAGAUAGAUAGAUAGAUAGAUAGACAGACAGACAGACAGACAGACAGAUAGAUAGAUAGACAGACAGACAGACAGACAGACAGACAGAUAGAUAGAUAGAUAGAUAGAAAGAAAGACAGAUAAUCAGACAGACAGAUAGAUAGAUAGAUAGAAAGAUAGACA
ensembl:lncRNA